UUGUCCUACGGGAGGCAGCAGUGGGGUUUAUUGGUUUUUGGGGGAACCCCUGAUGCAGCGACGCCGCGUGGGUGAAGAAGCGCCUCGGCGCGUAAAGCCCUGUCAGCAGGGAAGAAAAUGACGGUACCUGAAGAAGAAGCCCCGGCUAACUACGUGCCAGCAGCCGCGGUAAUACGUAGGGGGCAAGCGUUAUCCGGAUUUACUGGGUGUAAAGGGGGCGCAGACGGCGAUGCAAGCCAGGAGUGAAAGCCCG
rnacentral:rRNA from 1 species